rnacentral:rRNA from 1 species
GAGAUGAGCCCGCGUACCAUUAGCUUGUUGGUAGGGUAACGGCCUACCAAGGCUACGAUGGUUAGCUGGUCUGAGAGGAUGAUCAGCCACACUGGAACUGACACACGGUCCAGACUCCUACGGGAGGCAGCAGUGAGGAAUUUUGCGCAAUGGGGGAAACCCUGACGCAGCAACGCCGCGUGAGUGAUGAAGGCUUUCGGGUCGUAAAGCUCUGUCAAGUGGGAAGAACCUGCCCCGUGAUAAUACCAUGGGGUACCGACGGUACCACUGAAGGAAGCACCGGCUAACUCCGUGCCAGCAGCCGCGGUAAUACGGGGGGUGCUAGCGUUAUUCGGAAUCAUUGGGCGUAAAGGGCGCGUAGGCGGUCUUUAAAGUCAGAUGUGAAAGCCCUCGGCUUAACCGAGGAAGUGCAUUUGAUACUAAAAGACUUGAGUAUGGGAGAGGGAAGCGGAAUUCCUGGUGUAGCGGUGAAAUGCGUAGAUAUCAGGAGGAACACCAGUGGCGAAGGCGGCUUCCUGGACCAAUACUGACGCUGAGGCGCGAAGGCGUGGGGAGCAAACAGGAUUAGAUACCCUGGUAGUCCACGCAGUAAACGUGGAACACUAGGUGUAGCGGGUAUUGACCCCUGCUGUGCCGAAGCUAACGCAUUAA